GGGUCUGCUGCUGAUUGGCUGGAAUGUGUCUGCUGACUGUGAGGUACAGGGUCAAAGUUUACUCAAUGAUGAGUCCGUGGUGAACCGUUCGUGGUGAAACGUUCGCGAACCGUUCGGCGAACCGUUCGGCGAACCGUUCGGGACAUCACUAUACUUCAAUAAUAUACUGUUGGACCAAGGCCUAUUCUUUACUUGCAUUUCACGGAAAGCUUCCAUUGUGUGAGUGCAUGUGCUUUUGUUUGAAAAGAAAUUUGAACAAAAUUGAUGCUUCAUUUUUGUUUAAAAAAACAAACAAAAACAGUAGAAUAAAAAAAACAUAGUACUUCUCAUGACAUCAUUUGGCCUUCUAUCCAUUAAGACCACCAUCUUUCUCAGUCCAUUGGUUUUCAGAGUGCAUGAUUGAACGGGUACUUAUACAAGGUUAGAUUGCAACAUUACCCAUGGUGAUUUUUUUAAGACAUCAUGCUUACGUUUGGGUGACUUUAUUCUUCCUAAGACAGGUACUGUUGAACCUCGAAAGCAUGAAAGUAAUGUUUUUGUUACAUCUAGUUCCAAUAUAAGUUGACGUUCACAAUUUAGUUGUUGGUUUGUAAACUGCAAGAAGUAAAAUUGUAAAAAUAGAAUUUAACGCAAGCUCCUAAAGCAAAAUGUAAAGGAAAAAAUUCACUACAGGGGUUUCUAAACUCAUUUCUGUAAACCACAGUCUCCACACUUUAAUUAUAUCCACAAACUGUUACAGUGUGAGGGAUUGCACUCCCUGAAUUUUAAGGACCCGAUUGCACUCCCUUAAAUUUCAGGGAUGGGACUUGCUUUUAACCCAAGUAUUGACAUGACAUUUCUACUAUAACUUAACUGAGCAAGUAUGUGUGUUUCCAGUUGCUUAAAAAUAAAAACUAAAUUUUCCAUCUAGCUCCACUUUUUGUUGUUCUCUGAGGCAAAUAUCCAUAACCUUCAAUGCCCUACGUGAAAUCCUGCUUAAUGAGAUGCACUUUACAUAUACACUGGCAAUAUUAUUAAUUGAAAUAUAAUUGAAUAACACUGCCAUAGUGAUGUCCCGAACUGUUCGCCGAAUGGUUCGCCACGGUUCACCGCGAACGGUUCGCCAUGAACUCCAGUCAGCAGACACACUCCAGCCAAUCAGCAGCAGACCCUCCCUCCCAGAUCCUCCCACCUCCUGGACAGCUCACUGAGAAUGCAGCUUCAAAAUGGAUGCUGUCCAUGAGGUGGAUGGGUCUGGGAGGGAGGGUCUGCUGCUGAUUGGCUGGAAUGUGUCUGCUGACUGGAGUUCGUGGCGAACUGUGGCGAACCGUUUGCGAACCGUUCGGCGAACAGUUCGGGACAUCACUACACUGCCACCAUGAAUGGAAAUGUACAUUCAUGAGCAAAAUGUAUUUCAAUGAAUGCUAAUUAAUUCCGUAUAAGGCUACACUACAGUCCAUGGUGUGUUGGGCUUCAGCCCUGAUAGCCCUUUUUUCUGAUAACACUGCGAAUUUUAUAUAUAUUUUAUAUUUCGUCCAUAUUACUUGUUGCAACAAGUCAAUGCAUUAUAAUGUGAUAAGCAUGGGACAUCCCUUAAAAAACUAAAGGUUAAUAUUUCCCCCCAAGAAUAAUUAGGAAAUCCAGGAAGUUCUGUUUCAUCUGUCAUUAUAAACACUACCUAGCCACUUUGGUGCUUCACUGGCUCAAUAGCCACAGGGCUAACAACCAUUUAUCCUUCCCAGGUCAAUAACAUGAGAAUCAUAUUUCUAUCAGAUGCUGAAUGUAUUAACUUAGACAGUGUCGCAGUUAUUCACUAAAGUAAGAAUUCAACGUGACUUUCAAAUUGAAAGGCAAAAACAGCUGAAAUUGAAAAUGUUUCAGUCCGUGAUUAUUCCAGUUUGUCAGAGAGAGUGAGUGUCUGUGUGUGUGUGGUUUUUUUUCAUGGUAAUUUACUGAAGGGAGUAUUGUCUGGAAUUCAAAAUUAAUUCAAGGUGAAUUUCACAUUUAAAAUGGCUCUUUCAUAAAGAUAAAGCAUUUGUGAAAUAUUCACAUGGACGGUGUUGAAAUUUCAAUGUAGUCAAAGAUCUACUGAGACAAGUUAGGGAUUACUUUGUUUUAGUAUAUUCCCUACGCUUGACAAAAGGCGGAGCUGCCGAUGUCCCGUUUUGUUAUUUCCCCCAGCUGUCACUAGUCUAAGUAAAAAGGCAUUGUCUAUUGAGGUUUCCGGCAGUCUUGUGGGAUCCUCCAUAGACAUCAGUGCUGUACUUGGACCAGAGUAGAACACUAAUGUGGUCUCCUGGCAGAUGAAGCUCUUGGAGCCGGUGGAGACCAAGACAGCCGCUACCAUGGACUGAUUCACGUAAGUAAAACUUACUUUUCUCUGCACCCAAAAAAACACCAGACACCAAGCAGAGCAGUCAUCAUUGUGGGGAGGGGGGUCUUUGCAAAAUAUGCAAAGACAGUGGUAGAGCCACUCUAAAGCCAAGUUAAAGCAUAACUGAUUUGAAGAUUUUUUCCAGUUCAGCAACUUUGGCUUUAAAUUUGAAAUUCAUAUUAAUUUCACUUUGAAUUCCCAAUAAUUCUCACUUUAGUAAAUAAUCCUGUUAGUGUUGGAUAAAACAGGCGACAGCAAAAAGUUUAAAUGUGACUCAAAACUAAUGGAAUGUAUAAAAUGUUUCAAAGUUUUACUUUGCAAAUGUUCUUUUUGUCUUACUUCUGUUUAUUUACAUGGGUCACAUAAUUCUUUAGUAAUUAUCGCAACCAUCAUAUAAUGCUGCAUUUAAUUGUAUUUGCCCCUAGUGGUUAUGUUGAAAACUGCAAGAAAUAAAAUGUCUAUUGCACAUUUUUCCACCAAGUGCAGUACCCCUAUAUCCUUUUCCCAGUCAAUGCGUGGAAAUGGUGGGAAUGUUCUUGAACUCACCACACGGGUACUAUUUUCCAAUGUGUCAUUAUUAAUAUCAUUUUUUUUUAAACUUUUGUAUUUUCUGCAGUUUUGUUUUGUCUGAACAUUUGCGGUUGUGGCAAACUUCUUGUAAAUGGAAAUUACUCCGAUUUUUUUAAUUUUUUUAUAGGUUUAAAUAGUUACUGUUUUCCUGAUCGUCAUGGCAGUUGAAAAAUACAAACCGGGUUAAAGUCUAGGUUGUUGGGAGUUCAAGAUGUUGAAAUUUUAGACCAAAAUAAAUUAAUUGUAAAAAAUCUUCAAGUCCGUUGUUUUAAUUUCAGUGAAGUUGGCCUAAAAAUUUAAUUCACUGGAUUUUCACAGCAAUUCACACCUAGAAUGACCCAGAAUGUUUCAACUGAGAAGAAAAUACUUAUGUUUUAGAUAUUGUAGUAUGUUAGGAAAAAUGUCUUAUGAACUAAGUCUUUACUCUCUAGUCUUCUUUUAAACAUAUCAGAUUUAAAAUCUUAAUACCUAGUGUUACACCAGCAAAAUAAAAAAAACAUACUCUGUAAGUGUGUGGGCAUGAUCACUGUAUUGUUACACAUCACAAUCACAAUCUGUUGAGAUUUCUUUGUGUCCUCUUUAAUUUCCAGAUAAUUUUAGAAUCUUCAUGUGUGUGUAUAUAUAUAUUAAACAAAUAUACAAAGUAUUUUGUUCUACCUCUGUAAAGAAAGUGUGAAUAAAGUCACAUUGUCUGUGAAGUAUUGUGAAUAUUGCAAAAUGUGGUCUCUGUUUUUAUUUCUAAUUGCAC